CCCGUAGGCGGGUAAUUAAGUCAGAGGUGAAAUCCCACAGCUCAACUGUGGAACUGCCUUAGAUACUGGUUAUCUUGAGUUUUAGUGAAGUAGAUAGAAUGUGUAGUGUAGCGGUGAAAUGCAUAGAUAUUACACAGAAUACCGAUUGCGAAGGCAGUCUACUAACUAACAACUGACGCUAAUGGACGAAAGCGUGGGGAGCGAACAGGAUUAGAUACCCUGGUAGUCC
rnacentral:rRNA from 1 species